rnacentral:rRNA from 1 species
GAUGAACGCUGGCGGCGUGCCUAAUACAUGCAAGUCGAGCGAACAGACGAGGAGCUUGCUCCUCUGACGUUAGCGGCAGACGGGUGAGUAACACGUGGAUAACCUACCUAUAAGACUGGGAUAACUUCGGGAAACCGGAGCUAAUACCGGAUAAUAUAUUGAACCGCAUGGUUCAAGAGUGAAAGACGGUUUUGCUGUCACUUAUAGAUGGAUCCGCGCCGCAUUAGCUAGUUGGUAAGGUAACGGCUUACCAAGGCGACGAGGCGUAGCCGACCUGAGAGGGUGAUCGGCCACACUGGAACUGAGACACGGUCCAGACUCCUACGGGAGGCAGCAGUAGGGAAUCUUCCGCAAUGGGCGAAAGCCUGACGGAGCAACGCCGCGUGAGGGAUGAAGGUCUUCUGAUCGUAAACCUCUGUUAUUAGGGAAGAACAAAUGUGUAAGUAACUAUGCACGUCUUGACGGUACCUAAUCAGAAAGCCACGGCUAACUACGUG